rnacentral:rRNA from 1 species
UACGGAGGGUGCAAGCGUUAUCCGGAUUCACUGGGUUUAAAGGGUGCGUAGGCGGACAUGUAAGUCAGUGGUGAAAGCCCGGAGCUCAACUCCGGAACUGCCAUUGAUACUGCAGGUCUUGAGUACACUUGAGGUGGGCGGAAUACAUCAUGUAGUGGUGAAAUACUUAGAUAUGAUGUAGAACACCGAUUGCGAAGGCAGCUCACUAAAUUGUAACUGACACUGAGGCACGAAAGCGUGGGGAUCAAACAGG